AAUUAAAAUGUCACGGAAGCGAGGCGUGUGGUCCGAGGAGAGCCUUCACGCCGCCAUGACAGCUGUCAAACAGGGGCUGUUGACAAGUCGUGCUGCAUCACGCAGAUAUAAAAUACCAAGGACUACACUGAGAGACCACUUGGUAUCUGGAAGUGGUGUAAAACGCUUCGGUAGAAAAUCAACAUUAACUCAGGAACAAGAAAAUGAUCUUGUCUUAAGAAUAUUGCGUAUCGCUGAAAGUGGACAAAAAAUAACAUCUAGUCUCAUAUGUAAAGAAGCGUUUGUGUUCUGCGAAAAGAAUAAUAUUCAGCAUAGAUUUGACAAGAAAACUCGUGCUGCUGGCCGUCAGUGGUUAUGGGCGUUUAGAAAUCGGCAUACUGAAAUUGCAAAAGUGCUCUAUAAGAAAAAAUAGGAUUCUAAGUAUUGGAAUAAUCUUUAUUCGAUCGAAAUGCCACGUAAGCGAGACUUUUUGCAAUGGAGAGAAGAGAGCCUUCAAGCUGCCAUAACAGCUGUCAAAUAUGGGCAUAUGGCAGCAUUCGCUGCAGCUCGUAAAUAUAAAAUACCAAGGACUACACUGUAUAACCACUUGAAAUCUGGAAGUGAUGUAAAACGCAUAGGACGCAAGUCAACCUUCACCCAGGAAGAAGAAAAUGAUUUUGUCAUAAGUAUAUUGCGUAUCGGUCAAAGUGGAAAAAAAGUAACACCUAGUCUCAUACGUAAAGAAGCGUUUAUAUUCUGCGAAAAGAAUAAUAUUGAGCACAGCUUUAACAAGAAGAAUCGCAUUGCAGGCCGUGACUGGUACAAAGAGUUUAAAAAGCGUCAUUCUGAAAUUUCAGAAGCAUUCCUUAACAAAAAUUGAGAUUCGUAUUGAUUUUAAUUAAAUGAAUUAGUAUCUAA